CAGGACACCGGCCCUUGAGGCCUGGAGUUCGACACCUGUGUCUUAUAGCAAUUACAUUUAUAGGUAAAAUAUAAAGUGCGUGGAACUUAAAAACAUCAAGCGCAGAACCAGAACGCCGCAUUUCUUGAAUGGCUUUAUGUUGCCCCCUUGUGACCAAACCUGCAAACUGCAUCCAGCCUUUAAAAUACAAAACGAGUAGUGCUGACAGAAGAAACAGCUGGACUUGAAUCGCUAAACACACACGCGGGUGAGGAUUUCACGGAUAUUCCUCUAAGACGAUUCAUGGUAGAAAUAGCAGUAAAUGGCUAUUAUUUUCUUUAGCUGAUUUUUGUGAAUGAGACAGUAACACGUUCCCUCUCAGAUGGCUGGAAUGGAGAACUCUACCAGCGGGAUUAUAUAUGAAUACUAUUAUGAUUACCUGGAUCCCGUGAUUGUGGAUGAGAGAAAGUUAAAGUACUAUAAAUAUUCCGUUGUUAUAAUAUUUUGGGUAGUCGUCAUUACCUUUGUGGCAUGUCUUUUUCUCACUUUGAAUCUACUGUCUCGCAGUGGAAACCUACCAAAGAAUCACACGUCAACUAAUUCACUAGAGACUCGAUCUUAAUGAGAACAUAGUGAAAAACGGAGGCGAUGGACUCAAAUUCAAAAUGUGAUGAUAAGGUGCAACAGCACUAAUGAAAUUUAAAAUGAGAAGAAGUGACCAUCAUUCCAUCUCGCAAGAUCACUGCAAAGUUCAAGGCUUCCUUAAACAUUAAAAAAAAUGUUACGUAACAGCUGCUUUGAGCUUUAAACCACAGUGUGUGUGUGUGUGUGUGUGUACAUAAGAGCAAGGACAGCGAGAGUAUAUUAGGCAGCUUUGCUCCUUCCAUUUUCAUUUUAGUCCCAAAACUUUCUGCUCAAAAUUUGUACAUACAGUACUUUGGAAGAGUCAAGUUUUCCACCUCUCAUUUCUUUGCAUUUUAUUAGGUAAAUGGGAACAUGUAAACAUACAGGGACAUACGGUAUACAAGGCAAAACAGACUUUGUAUAGUUCUAACAAGUUUUAAAGUCGCCUUUUGUAUGACUGACCUUUUGUAGUUUCUUUAAGAAUUCUUCAGGAAUGGUUCUCCAAGCUUCUUGAAGAACAUUCAAAGCUCUUCAUUGAGGUCCAAAUCAAUCCACAACUUUCAUUGUGUUUUUUCAGUGUUUUGGGA